rnacentral:rRNA from 1 species
CCUACGGGAGGCAGCAGUGAGGAAUAUUGGUCAAUGGGCGCGAGCCUGAACCAGCCAAGUAGCGUGAAGGAUGACUGCCCUACGGGUUGUAAACUUCUUUUAUAAAGGAAUAAAGUGAGGCACGUGUGCCUUGUUGUAUGGACUGUAUGAAUAAGGAUCGGCUAACUCCGUGCCAGCAGCCGCGGUAAUCCGGAGGAUCCGAGCGUUAUCCGGAUUUAGUGGGUUGAAAGGGAGCGUAGAGGGGUUGUUAAGUCAGUUGUGACAGUUUGCGGCGCCACCGUAAAAGUGCAAUUGAUACGGGCAGUCUUGAGUACAGUUGCGGUCGGCUGACUUCGUGGUGUAGCGGU